rnacentral:rRNA from 1 species
AUUGAACGCUGGCGGCAUGCUUUACACAUGCAAGUCGAACGGCAGCGCGGGCUUCGGCCUGGCGGCGAGUGGCGAACGGGUGAGUAAUACAUCGGAACGUGCCCAGUAGUGGGGGAUAGCUCGGCGAAAGCCGGAUUAAUACCGCAUACGACCUGAGGGUGAAAGCGGGGGAUCUUCGGACCUCGCGCUAUUGGAGCGGCCGAUGGCAGAUUAGCUAGUUGGUGGGGUAAAGGCCUACCAAGGCGACGAUCUGUAGCUGGUCUGAGAGGACGACCAGCCACACUGGGACUGAGACACGGCCCAGACUCCUACGGGAGGCAGCAGUGGGGAAUUUUGGACAAUGGGCGGAAGCCUGAUCCAGCAAUGCCGCGUGUGUGAUGAAGGCCUUCGGGUUGUAAAGCACUUUUGGCGGGAACGAAAAGGACUGUGCCAAUACCACGGCUCGAUGACGGUACCCGCAGAAUAAGCACCGGCUAACUACGUG